UACGUAGGGUGCAAGCGUUGUCCGGAAUUAUUGGGCGUAAAGAGCUCGUAGGCGGUUCGUCGCGUCGGCUGUGAAAUCCCGAGGCUCAACCUCGGGUCUGCAGUCGAUACGGGCGGACUGGAGUUCGGCAGGGGAGACUGGAGUUCCUGGUGUAGCGGUGAAAUGCGCAGAUAUCAGGAGGAACACCGGUGGCGAAGGCGGGUCUCUGGGCCGAUACUGACGCUGAGGAGCGAAAGCGUGGGGAGCGAGCGGG
rnacentral:rRNA from 1 species